rnacentral:tRNA from 1 species
GGGAUCAUAGCUCAGCUGGUUAGAGCACUUGCUUUACACGCAAGGGGUCGUAGGUUCGAGUCCUAUUGAUCCCACCA